AAUGGGCAACGUAGGUCAGCAUGCCCCGAAUUAUCCGGGCUACACGCGGGCUACAAUGGUCAGGACAAUGGGUAUCAACACCGAAAGGUGAAGGCAAUCUCCUAAACCUGUCCUUAGUUCGGAUUGUGGGCUGCAACUCGCCCACAUGAAGCUGGAAUCUGUAGUAAUCGCGUCUCAACAUGGCGCGGUGAAUAUGUCCCUGCUCCUU
rnacentral:rRNA from 1 species